GAUGAACGCUGGCGGCGUGCUUAACACAUGCAAGUCGAACGAAAAGGCCCUGCUUUUGCGGUGUACUCGUGGGGCGCGGGGGUGUGAAACACGAGUGUAAACCCCCCUUGUCUUUGGGAUAACUUUACGAAAGGGGGGCUAACACCGGAUAGGAGCUCAUGACCCGUGGGGGGGGUUGGAGAGUUUCGGCGGUUGGGGAUGGUCUCGCGGUAUAUGCGCUUGUUGGUGGGGUAGUGGCUUACCAGGGCAUUGACGGGUAGCCGGCCUGGGAGGGUGACCGGCCACAUUGGGACUGAGAGACGGCCCAGACUCCUACGGGAGGCAGCAGUGGGGAAUAUUGCACAAUGGGCGGAAGCCUGAUGCAGCGACGCCGCGUGCGGGAUGACGGCCUUCGGGUUGUAAACCGCUUUCGGUAGGGAAGAAGCGAGAGUGACGGUACCUGAAAAAGAAGCACCGGCUAACUACGUG
rnacentral:rRNA from 1 species